AAAUAAAAGGAAUAAUAUCUAAUAUAUAAUCCUCAAAAAAUUUCAAAUACCUUAUAUAUCUCUAUUUUUUUAUUUCAAAUAUAUCCCUCAUAUAUAUAUUUCUCCGUUAUUAAAACAUAACUCCGCUAUUAGUACCCAUUAAUAAGUCAUCUUAGUUUAAGCCCAGAUUAAAUUUUUAUCAGAGUUAAAAAAAAAUCAAAAUAUCUCUUUUGUAUUUAACUUAAGGGCAAAUAAAAAAAAAUAGUGAUAGUAACAGAAUAUAUUUGAAAAAGUAAAAAGUCAAAAUACUUAUUUUGUCCAUAACUUAAGAAGAAAUAAGAAAAAUUUGCUGACGGUAAAAAGACAUAUUUAAAAAGACAAAAUAGUAAUUUCAUGAAAAUAACGAUUGUUCCAUUUGACAUAAUAACUUACAAUAUUAAAAAAAUAUAUUUUUAAUAUUAGCCCUUAAGAAAGUUAAAAUUUUUUUAAAAGUAUAUAAGUAAUUGAAACAAAAUAAAAAAGAGGGGGAAAAAAAAUAAAAGG
rnacentral:lncRNA from 1 species